CUUCAAAGAAUUAAACCGGCGUGCCUGUGAAACUCUUUUAGAUAAAAGGGUUGUAUCCUCUACCUAUCUAUUUGGAGCUGGUUUCACUUGGCACCAAAUUUUCAUGUUGAUUUGUAAUAACAAUAAAAUCAUGUAGAGUUUAAAGUUAUUGUUUGCUGCAGGAGCUGUGUGUUAAAACAUGCAGGAGCUGGGUGUAAAAACAAGUUGCAGAGCAACAUCAAGAUAUGUCAGAGCUUGUAGAGAAGGAAUCGGUAUUGGUGAAAGAUACUUACGAAUUCUUGCUCAUUCAAAUUGCUAACAGUGUCAACUUGUCUAAGCUCAAGCUCAUCAACUUUGUAACAGCAUUAUGUUUGAUUGAGUUGCAGUAGCGGCAGGAGUUGUUUUGUCGCGGCAACAACAACAAUGGCUAUCAUCAUCAGCUUGGGUAGCGGCGGCAGGAGUUGUUUUGUCGUGGCAACAACAACAAUGGCUAUCAUCACCAGCUUGGGUAGGUAAGCAGAUCAGCACUCAGCAAGGUUUCAGAUGUCAGGUUUAUGGAUUUUAUUUUUCACGCUAUAGUGAUGCUACUGCUAGUUCCAUUAUUUAAUCAUUGGUUGCUUGCUUUGGUUGGUCAGUUAAGUAGCUCAUUAGUUUAUUCACUAAAAUGAUUUUGUCUAUGAAGUAAAAUGCUACUUCUAUAUGCGUGGAUAAGAGGAGCAAUUAAAGAAUGAGGAGAUGAGAAGAACUACUUUACGCGGAUGUUCUGUCCUUGAAGCAAAAUGCAACUUUUGUUGGGAUUUCAUCUCGAUUUGCUCUGUUUUGGUGAAGAAACAAAUGUUGUUUUGAAUCAUGGUCAUUA